UACGGAGGGUGCAAGCGUUAAUCGGAAUUACUGGGCGUAAAGCGCACGCAGGCGGUUUGUUAAGUCAGAUGUGAAAUCCCCGGGCUCAACCUGGGAACUGCAUUUGAAACUGGCAAGCUUGAGUCUUGUAGAGGGGGGUAGAAUUCCAGGUGUAGCGGCGAAAUGCGUAGAGAUCUGGAGGAAUACCGGUGGCGAAGGCGGCCCCCUGGACAAAGACUGACGCUCAGGUGCGAAAGCGUGGGGAGCAAACAGG
rnacentral:rRNA from 1 species